AGCCAAAUGUUCUAUAGCUUAGAGCAGAAUGAUUUCCCCUUUUUUAACAAAACAUCGAUUGGUUCUUCGUAAGCCAUGACGCUUGCAAUCUCAGCAGUCUUAUUCUUUUGUUUGGACCCUUUUUGUACUAUCCCUUUUCAGUUCUUAUAAAUAAGGGACCUCCUAUAUUUACACGGCAUAGGAGUAGUUACUUUAGAUGCCCACUUCAUCAGUCACUGUCUGUUUUUUGUAUUUGUGGCUAUAGUUCUAAAUGUCUACUACUUGUGACCACUGGCCAGUUGUACUUGUAGUAGUGCUUUAGUCUUCAACAUUUCAUGCAAACACUUUUACGUGCAAAGAAACAAAGGGUAGCAUUCUGGUCUAACUUUCAGUUUCUUGAAGUACUUGUAACUGCUGAACCAACCUUUGUCUAUGAAGUGGCAUUGAUUGAUGUUCAUUUUGUUCUAUAUAGGGGAAAUGGAUUCAUGGGGAAUGGGGCUAUAUAACAAUUGAACUCGUUUUAAGAUGAGUAACAAAAGCCUGGCAUUUCUUUCUAACCUGCUAAAUUUGGAUUCUCUUAAAGAAGUAGUGACAUAGGGACUUCUUAGGCUGGUGAUUAGUAAGAAAAGGAAAGGUUUCUUGAAUAAUUAGUUGUCUCAUUUGGUUUAUUGUGGUUAUAACAAGCACUGAGUUUAAUUGGCUUUCAAUUGAAGCUAACUUAGUCUUGUUUGUGUUACAAGAAUGCAUUGAUUAGGGAAUCAAGCAGUUUCAGAAAACAGACAAGUUUGUAGUGAAAUCCCAGUAAUUUCUGCGGGAAAUAGAGGCAGUGUGAUCCAAUCAGAGAAUCCAAAAAUGGGUUUCAAGCCAUGGAUUUGGUAUUGCAGGCCAGUGGAGAAUGGAGUUUGGGCAAAUCAAACAGAGAGUGCUUUUGGAUCAUACACGCCCUGUGCCUUAGAUUCUGUAGUGGGGUGUGUGUCCCAUUUGGUUCUUCUGGGAUUGUGUUUAUAUAGAAUAUGGUUGACUAAGAUGGAUUACAGGAUCCAGAGAUAUCGAUUGAGGUCAAAUUUGUACAAUUAUUUUUUGGCAUUGCUUGCUGGGUUUUGCGCUGCUGAGCCCAUGUUCAGACUGAUUAUGGGCAUUUCACUUUUCAAUCUGGAUGAACAGAGUGGUCUGGCUCCAUUUGAGAUGCUAUCAUUGGGAAUUGAGGCACUUGCUUGGUUCUCAUUAGUGUUUAUGCUGGGCUUGGAGACAAAAAUUUACAUUAGAGAGUUCCGGUGGUAUGUCCGAUUUGGACUAGUUUAUGUUUUGGUAGCAGAUGCUGUAAUGUUCAAUUUGAUAUUUUCACUGAGGGAUUUUUAUACAAGGUCGAUACUGUAUCUAUAUUGCUCUACACUUGUGUUCCAGGUUUUGUUAGGAGGGCUGCUUCUUGUUUAUGUCCCUCAUCUGGAAUCCUACCCUGGCUACAUCCCAUUAUCUGGUGAAUCUGCUGAUGAAAAUAAACAUGAAACUUUUCUUGGAGGAGAUAUUUGUCCAGAGAGACAUGCCAAAUGGUUAGACAGAAUAUAUUUUGGAUGGAUGACCCCCCUCAUGCAGCAAGGUUACAAAAGACCAAUAACUGAUAAGGAUGUUUGGAAGCUGGAUUCCUGGGAUCAGACUGAGACACUGAUUAAAAAGUUCCACAAAUGUUGGGCUGAAGAAUCUCAAAGACCAAAACCAUUGCUUCUACGUGCAUUGAAUUGUAGCCUUGGAGGCAGGUUUUGGUAUGGUGGCUUCUUCAGGAUUGGAAAUGAUAUUUCCCAGUUCAUAGGGCCCAUGAUACUAAAUCAUCUCUUAACGUCAUUGGAACGAGGAGAUCCUGCUUGGGUUGGUUAUGCCUAUGCCUUUUCAAUUUUUGUCGGAGUGUCAUUUGGAGUUCUUUGUGAAGCUCAGUACUAUCAGAACGUCAUGCGUGUUGGUUUCAGGCUAAGAUCAACUUUGGUAGCUGCUAUUUUUCGGAAAACUUUGAGGCUAACACAUGAGAGUCGCAAGAGCUUCCCAUCCGGAAGAAUAACAAAUAUGAUAACAACUGAUGCUAAUGGACUUCAGCAAAUAUGCCAACAACUUCAUGGCUUAUGGUCAGCUCCAUUUCGAAUUACGAUAGCCAUGGUUCUUCUAUACCAGCAAUUAGGGGUGGCAUCACUUCUUGGUUCUCUUAUGUUGGUUCUAAUGUUUCCCAUUCAGACUUUUAUUAUAAUCAAGAUGCGAAAACUAUCCAAAGAAGGACUUCAGCGUACUGACAAAAGAGUUGGUCUAACCAAUGAAAUUUUAAUGGCCAUGGAUGCGAUUAAAUGUUAUGCAUGGGAGAAGAGUUUUCAGUCUAAGAUCCUGAGCAUGAGGAAUGAUGAACUGUCAUGGUUCAAGAAAGCACAGUUUCUAGCAGCGUGUAACACUUUCAUACUAAACAGCAUCCCGGUUCUUGUAACUGUGGUUUCGUUUGGAAUGUUUACUUUUCUUGGUGGAGAUUUGACACCUGCCCGGGCAUUUACCUCUCUUUCUCUGUUUUCGGUUCUGCGUUUUCCCUUGAACAUGCUUCCCAACUUGAUAACUCAGGUGGUAAAUGUAAAUGUAUCACUACAACGGCUGGAGGAAUUGUUCCUAGCUGAAGAAAGAAUCCUUUCAUCAAAUCCACCUGGUGAACCAGGGCUUCCUGCCAUUUCAAUCAAGGAUGGAUACUUUUCAUGGGAUUCUAAGGCUGAAAGGCCCACCUUGUCAAAUAUAAAUCUGGAUAUACCAGUGGGCAGCCUUGUAGCAGUUGUUGGCAGCACUGGAGAAGGAAAGACAUCUCUAAUAUCAGCAAUGCUUGGGGAACUUCCUGCUUCAGGAGAUACAAAUGUUGUCAUUAGAGGAACUGUUGCUUAUGUUCCUCAAAUUUCUUGGAUAUUCAAUGCCACAGUGCGAGAAAACAUACUGUUUGGGUCUAGCUUUCAACCUUCCCAAUAUUGGAAAGCUAUAGAUGUUACAGCAUUGCAGCAUGAUCUUGAUUCACUUCCAGGUCAUGACCUUACAGAGAUAGGUGAAAGAGGAGUUAAUAUCAGUGGAGGACAAAAGCAGAGAGUCUCUAUGGCAAGGGCUGUGUACUCUAACUCUGAUGUAUACAUAUUUGAUGACCCCUUGAGUGCUCUAGAUGCACAUGUUGGACGACAGGUUUUCAACAAAUGUAUUAAGGAGCAAUUGCAAGGAAAAACAAGGGUGCUUGUGACAAACCAGCUACAUUUUCUUCCACAGGUGGAUAGAAUUAUUUUGAUAUCUGAAGGUACAGUGAAAGAGCAGGGCACCUUUGAGGAGCUUUCCAGAGAUGGGACGCUUUUCCAAAAGCUAAUGGAGAAUGCAGGAAAAAUGGAAGAACACAUUGAAGAAAAUGGAGAUGUGACAAUUACUAGCUGUGAAUCUUCACAAUCUUUUGGCAUACUGCAUGAGCAGCAAAAGGACACAGACUCAAUGAGUAAAAGGAAAGAAGGUAAAUCCGUUCUAAUCAAGCAAGAAGAGCGAGAGACAGGUAUUGUCAGCUGGAAAGUCAUAACAAGGUAUGAAAAAGCUUUAGGUGGCAUAUGGGUUGUCAUGGUGCUGUUCAUGUGCUAUACGCUGACUGAAGUUCUUCGAGUUCUAGGUAGCACAUGGUUAAGCAAGUGGACAAAGGAAAGUGCUGCAAAGAACUAUGGAGUGGGUUUCUAUGUUCUGGUUUAUGCAUUUUUAUCUUCUGGUCAGGUGCUGGUGGCAUUGGCAAACUCAUUUUGGUUGAUAAAAUCAAGUCUCAAUGCAGCUAAAAGACUCCAUGAUUCUAUGUUACAUUCAAUACUUAAGGCUCCAAUGGUUUUCUUCCACACUAAUCCAACCGGACGAAUUAUAAACAGAUUCUCGAAGGACAUUGGCGAUAUCGAUCGUAAUGUUGCCAAUUUUGUAAAUAUGUUUCUUAAUCAACUAUGGCAGCUUCUGUCAACGUUUGUGCUCAUUGGUGUUGUAAGCACUGUAUCCCUCUGGGCCAUCAUGCCACUUCUGAUUGUAUUUUAUGCAGCCUACUUGUAUUAUCAGAGUACGUCUCGGGAAGUGAAACGUCUAGAUUCCAUUACCAGGUCUCCUGUGUAUGCACAGUUUGGAGAAGCUUUAAAUGGUUUAUCAACCAUUCGUGCAUAUAAAGCAUAUGACCGGUUGGCAAACAUCAGUGGAAAAAUUAUGGACAAUAAUCUCAGGUUCACUCUUGUGAAUAUAAGUUCCAAUCGCUGGCUCACCAUAAGGCUGGAAAGCCUUGGAGGUAUUAUGAUCUGGUUGACAGCAACCUUUGCAGUAUUGCAGAACGGAAGAGCAGAAAACCAGCUUGCAUUUGCAUCUACAAUGGGUCUGCUGCUUAGUUAUUCUUUAAACAUUACAAAUUUGUUGGGUACUGUUUUAAGACAAGCAAGUAGGGCUGAAAAUAGUUUGAAUGCUGUUGAGCGUGUGGGAACAUAUAUUGAUUUACCAGCUGAGGCUCCGGAUAUUAUCGAAAGCAAUCGGCCUCCACCUGGAUGGCCUUCAGCAGGACUAAUCAAAUUUGAAGAUGUUGUCCUCCGCUACAGGCCUGGGCUCCCUGCUGUCCUACGUGGCUUGUCUUUCACAAUCUCCCCAACUCAGAAGGUCGGCAUAGUUGGAAGAACUGGUGCAGGAAAAUCCAGCAUGCUCAAUGCUUUAUUCCGGAUUGUAGAACUUGAAAGAGGGAGAAUCUUGAUUGAUGGUUGUGACAUUUUGAAGUUUGGAUUGACCGACCUACGUAGAGUUCUUAGCAUUAUACCACAAUCACCAGUUCUUUUCUCUGUGAUCUUGAUCUCUGGGAGGCAUUAGAGCGGGCACACCUAAAGGAUGUCAUUCGGAAAAGUGUGUUUGGUCUGGAUGCUGAGGUUUCAGAAGGAGGCGAGAACUUCAGUGUUGGACAGAGGCAGUUACUCAGUCUUGCUCGAUCACUACUUCGGAGAUCAAAGAUUCUCGUCCUUGAUGAAGCAACUGCAGCUGUUGAUGUUAGAACUGAUGCGAUAAUCCAGAAAACUAUUCGAGAAGAAUUUAAGUCAUGCACAAUGCUCAUUAUUGCUCACAGGCUAAAUACUAUCAUUGACAGUGACGGGAUCCUGGUGCUUGAUGCUGGUCAGGUAGUGGAAUAUGAUGCACCUGAGAAGCUGCUUCUCAAUGAAGGAAGUGCUUUCUCAAAGAUGGUUCAAAGCACUGGAGCUGCAAAUGCUGAGUACUUACGCAGCUUAGUACUGAGAGAUGAACAAGAGAACAAAUUGAAAAGAGAGUCCAGGCACAUUAUCGGACAGGGGAAUUGGCUGGUAUCUUCCCACUGGACAGCUGCAGCCAAACAUGCUGUUGCUAUUAAUCUUGUUUCCGCUUUGAAGGAUCUCCGGGUAGCAGAAUUUGAUGAGUCAAACAACAUUGUACAUGAAACUAGGGAUGCAAUUGUAACUCUGCAAGGAGUCUUGGAAGGGAAGCAUGACGAACAAAUUGAAGAGACACUAAAUAAUUAUGCAGUUCCUAGAGAUAGAUGGUGGUCUGCCCUCUACAGAGUUAUAGAAGCACUUGCUGUAAUGAGCAGGUUGGCACGUAAUGGAAUUCAGCAUUUUGAGAAUGCUUUUGAAGCCACAUCUGCAAAUUGGGACCAAGUUGAAAUGUAGAGACCAUAGUUCUGGAAUUUGCAUAUUGAGAUGGGAUUGGCACAAAAGAGGUGCCAAAAUUGCAUAGUCAAGAAAAGGGUAAACAGUUCUGGUGAAUACUGAAUAUUUAACCACUUACUAAGCAGUUUCCUUAUGCAAUUGCUACCUGUGUGUUUGUCAUAGUUGAGAAUAGAGAUCAAACACCAGCACCCAUCUAGCUUUAGAAGCCAACCAUCAAGAGCUCUGCUCUUUCUUUCUUUUUUCUUUUUUUUGUUUUGGGGUAAAUUCAGGAGCUCUGUAUCAAAUAGAACCCACAUUUUGUCUACAUUGAGAAAAAACUGUUCAUUUUGCUCUA